rnacentral:rRNA from 1 species
AAGGAGCUGUGGACUGCAUGGAAGAGAGAAUGCCGGAAUGAGUAGCGAGAUAGAGGUGGGAAUCCUCUAGGCCGAAUAUCCAAGGUUUCCAGGGUAAAGCUGAUCUGCCCUGGGUGAGUCGGGACCUAAGGUGAGGGCGAGAGCCGUAGCCGAUGGACAACAGGUUGAUAUUCCUGUACUGCAGUAUGACAGAACUGUGGGGACACGUAAGGAGAGCGGGAGCCGGGAAUGGAAAGCCCGGUACAAGCGAGGUACCAGUAUGGUAGGAAAAUCCGCCAUGCAAUGGGAAGACGUGAUGUGGAGCGAAGAUUAGUAGCGAAGCCCGUGAGCCAUGCGUCAAGAAAAGCCGCUAUCGUUCAUAUUGUACCCGUACCGUAAACCGACACAGGUGGAUGAGGAGAGAAUCCUAAGGCCGGCGGAAGAAGUAUUGCCAAGGAACUCGGCAAAAUGGCCCCGUAACUUAGGGAGAAGGGGUGCCUGCGAGAGCAGGCCGCAGAGAAUAGGCUCAAGCAACUGUUUAGCAAAAACACAGGUCUAUGCGAAACCGAAAGGUGAGGUAUAUGGGCUGACGCCUGCCCGGUGCUGGAAGGUUAAGAGGAGAGGUUAGACGUAAGUCGAAGCUUUGAAUUUAAGCCCCAGUAAACGGCGGCCGUAACUAUAACGGUCCUAAGGUAGCGAAAUUCCUUGUCGGGUAAGUUCCGACCCGCACGAAAGGCGUAAUGAUUUGAGCGCUGUCUCGGCAAUACAUCCGGUGAAAUUGAAGUGCCAGUGAAGAUGCUGGCUACCCGCGCCAGGACGGAAAGACCCCAUGGAGCUUUACUCCAGUUUGGCACUGGGGUCCGGUGUUGCAUGUACAGGAUAGGUGGGAGGCUGAGAAACGGUAACGUCAGUUGCCGCGGAGCCGCUGUUGGGAUACCACCCUUGUGAUAUUGGGCUUCUAACCAGCCGCCGUAAUCCGGCGGUGGGACAAUGCCAGGCGGGGAGUUUGACUGGGGCGGUCGCCUCCGAAAGGGUAUCGGAGGCGCCCAAAGGUUCCCUCAGAAUGGACGGAAACCAUUCGAAGAGUGCAAAGGCAGAAGGGAGCUUGACUGCGACACCGACGG